CAGGAUGUGGCCGAGAUAGUCAAGCAACUCCCUUACACCGAGUUAACAUCCAUGCAAAUUGGAUCAUCCUGA
rnacentral:tRNA from 1 species